GAGGGGAGGGGACGGAGGAGGAGACACACCACAUCAGCUGGGGAGACUUCAAGGGAGGCGGGCGGGCCGGGAGGAAGUGCAGAGGAGGGAGGGGAGCACCGAACACCCAAAGAGGGAGAGGCGCACGCGCGCCCAGCCCUCCCACGCGCACUGGGGUGACCCCCAGCCCCGCCACCCACGGACGGCCCGACUGCCGGCUGAGGAGCUCGCGUACCCGGACGCACGCGCGGGCGCAAAACAAAGGGCCAAACAUGCUCCGGCCGGCUCUGCCUCCGCCUCGGCGCGCGCCGGGCCCCGGUUACCUGCGCAGGAAAGACAGGCCACCUGAAAAGAGCAAGACCCUGGAGGAUGCGAGACUAUGAAGGGAGAGAAAGGGGUCCAGCUGUCUCCCAGCCACCGCAGCUGAGGCACUGCGUGAAGCCAUCUUGCAUCCUUAGCCCUGUCGAGUCCCCCCCAGCAGGAACUAGCUGCAUCUGCCAAGUCUGCCCAAGUUGCAGAAUCGUGAGCAAAUAAAUGACUGUGUUUGUUUUAA